GCCGGAAACUCUCAUUAAAGGCCUCAGAAACUCACCUCACCUCACCUCACCUCACCUUAACGUUGCUGCUCUGGAUCUAAAAAAUUCUGUACCCUACAUCAUCUCAUGAACACUCAGCUCAUCUUCAAGGUGUCAAAAUGGCAACUUGCAAUUCUGAUGGGAUUCAAAAGGAAAAGGAAAAAACCAAAACAAUUCUUUGAUAAGAAAGUUCGUGGAUUCAUGAUGUUUUUCUCAGUUUUAGAAGAGGAUAUACGUUUAGGAUGGUUGCGGAUCAUCUCUACUCGGCUCUUAAAAUGACAAUGAAUUGUUGCUUGUGGCUUUGGUUUUGUUUAACAAAAAAAGACCCGAAGUUAACUAGAGCAACGAUUCAGUGGAGGGAGCCGGAUAAUAAUCACAACUAGAGAUGUUGUUUAUUAAAGGACUUGCAAAGUAAAUGUGGUUUACACUAUUAGCUUGUUAAAAGACAUUUAGAUUAACAAGUGUUUCAGCAAGCGUGCAUCAAGGGUAGUUACAAGUAUAUAUUUGUAUAUGAGAAAAAAGUUGUUUAAAAUUAAGAACCCUAGGAUGAAAGCUAAAUGAUUGUCUUUGGAUAUAAUCACCACACUUACUCAAACCAUAAUAGAAACCAUCCUAUGUUUUUUACCAAUUGAAGAGGCAGCAAGGACAAGUAUCCUCUCAAGGGAAUGAAGGUACAAAUGGACCACCAUUCCUAAAUUUUUUGGAAUGCAAAUUAUGGAGAUAAGUAAACUUUUGUGUGCUAUACACUAAGUUAUGUUACUGCGCCAAGAUCCAAUACAUGAGUUCACCCUUUGCAUGUAUGAAGUUGGCCUCUUUUCCAAAAUUGAUUACCCUUUUUGUGAAAUCGAUCAAAAUAAUACUUCAUUUGUCGAGGAACCAUAUCAUCAAGAAAUUAGCACUUGAGUUUGAUGCAUCUAGAAUUUGUUCGUAUAAUUUACCCUUCUCCGUCUUCUCAUUGUAUCACUUAGCGGAACUAUAUCUCAGUUGAUGUGGUUUUGACCACCAACUUGUAUUUAAUGGAUUUGGUAGCUUCAUAAUCCUAUCCUUGGAUUUUAUAAGGAUCUUGAGGAAAACACUUCUACAUCUUUUAUCGAAUUCUCCAUCACUUAAGAGCGAUGGUCUGUUUAUGCUUGAAGAACUAGUUGUGGGGCAUAAAAAUCCACCAUGAUUGAGCUAUUCGAGUGUUUACCUUUGAUUGAGCAUCGGACUAUUUGGAGUGAUAUAACUCAGGGUUUAAGUGGUUUGUUCAAGACCUGGUUCCACAAGAGCUUCCAAUCUCAUUAAUCCACCUUAAAUCAGGGCUGGCUUAACGCUUUUGUAUACCUAAAGCGAACUCUAAAUAUGAGGCCCUUUCCGGUUUUGAAUUGAUAUGUUUUUGUUACUUUAUAUCAAGUAUAUUAUUAUAUGUUAUACUUUUGUUUUAUAAAAUAAAGUAGAUUUUAUUUGGUUAUUGCUAUAUGAAUUUAACAGAAGAUUAUCACAUAAAGGCAUAUUAAUUCAUAGCUCUACAAAGAUUCAAGAUUUAACUAACCUUAGUUUUGUUAACAUAGUUAUAUACUUAUAUCUAAUCGUUAUCAUAUAUAUGAAGAUAAAAGAAAAUAAUUUUUCAGCUUGCUUAAACAUUUUCCGGUAAUCAUUGAAUAUGAAAUUGGAAUCUCAAUUUUUUUUGCCCAUUAACAUAUCUCAUUUUUUCUUCUACGUAAACCAAUAAAAAAAAUAAUAUGAUCUUCAAUUUUUUAAAUGGGAGGCCCUUAGAGGAGUGAGGCCCAAAGCAAAAGUCUUAACUGGCUUGCCCUUAAGCCGGCUUUGCCUUAAAUACUUUCGUUUUUAACAAAUAUCUUUUCAUGAGAGCUAUCGGUUGACUUUUCUUUCUGUUUCGAUCAAAAACUCCCUGAACUUGGGAAAAAAAAUCGAGCUAGAGAUUGAUACAGAACAUUAUCUCUCUAAUGAGAUAGACUAUGAUCCCGAUGUAUAUGAAGAAUAUCAUUCAGAUGUUUGGUUGGAGCAUGUAAUUGAAUUGAAGAUUAUAUAUUUCAGCAGCUUGGAGCUUGAAUUGAAAGGAUCAAGAGUUGGGGAUGUUAAAAAUACUCUUGCGCGCCCCACGCGCGUCUGCGGUUGAAAUUGAUGCUGUUUAGAUCACUUGAGUUUCUCUAGAAUUAAGGUUGAGAUUUAUGAUUGUAAUCUAGAAUUUUUGUACUGCUACCUGUUUUUCUAUAUCUAUUUCUGGAAUUCAUUGGAUGUA